rnacentral:tRNA from 1 species
GCCGGGGUCUCCUAGCCUGGCAGGGAGCUAGCCUGGAAAGCUAGUGUCCGUAUGGACGCAAGGGUUCAAAUCCCUUUCCCGGCGCCA